ensembl:lncRNA
UUCUGAGCAUAUAAAAUAAGUAUCAAUAGAAGUGUUUUUGUUGUUGUUGUUGUUUGUUUGGUUGUUUUUUGCUUUUUUUAUUUAUUUUAGCUGUUUAUAAAGAAUGAUGUUAAAAGCUGACUGCUAAUAGUUUAAAAAAAAAAAAAGCUAUUAGAAGGGUGUGCCUUCAAAUUUCAUUUGGUCUCUUGCUUGUUAAGUAUUUCCAGCGUAAUGCUUCCUUUUUGUUUUGGAAGAUAAUGAAAAAAAUGCAAGUUUUCUUAGGUAUGCAUCUUUCACUUGACAUUGAUCAAACCAGACUUAGUGUAAGCACAGAUCCCAUUAGAACAUGCUACUGCAGUCUUUUUAAUGCCUUAUAAUUCAUUCCAGCUCUAAGUAAAAGCUCAGCUUACAAGAUAUUUAAUGGCCUCAGGCAAAUUUUGGUAGGGUUUGUAGGAAGCAGUUGCCUCUAAAUUCUGUUGGUUUUUUUCUCCACAAGAAAUUACAUCGAUAUUUUAUGGAGUUUCUCUGGAGAGGCUGGCAUUUCUAAGGACUGUAAUGCUUACUAUUUUCUAUUUAUUCACAUCUUACACUUCAUGGGUACUAUGGAACUAAAUUUUUGGCUAAAUGCAUUUUACGCUGUGAUGAAUGGGACUUAAAUUUACAGUAAAAGCAAAAGAAGACCACUGAGAAGACACAGUGGUUUUCUUCCUUUGAUAUAAAUAUAUAUAUGUGUGUGUGUGUAUGUAUGUAUAUAUAUAUUUUUUUCUUAAGAGUAUGUCCCAGGGCCCUUUGAAUCAGUCCUGGUUUAUGUAAAAAUGCCUUGUAUUUCACAAUGCUUUUUUCAAGAUACACUUCCUUAAAACAUUUGAAAUGGGGACUCUCUUCUUACUGGCCCCACUAUUGUUCCAGUAAUAUUCAGCCAGGCAAAAUGCAACGUGCUCUUUAUUCUUUUUGCGUAUUCCUUGUAACAUGUUGAUGAUCUUUUUAGAGCCCAAUGCAGAUUUUGAAAGAGCAAAUAUUAUGUCAGAGUCCUUGUGGGUACAUUAAAGAGAAAAUGACUACUUAGCAUGCCGUGCAACCUCAAGGGCCAAAUCAGUUCCUGUGCAUUCUAUAGGAGAGGUGCGCUGAUCAGUCUUUGCAGGUUCACAAUUUUAAAAUUGACCAAUCUAUCAGUUUUAUAGGGAGGGAACAUAAGGAAGCGGGAUAACACAAAUGUUAUAAAUUUAAAUAGAGAACUUUGCUUGAAGUUCUCUUGAAUUGAAGACUAUAAUUUUGAUAACUAUUAGUGUAGAUGGUAGCUUGUGUGUUUCAGACGAACAGUGGGAAAGAUUUAAUGGUAGAAACCUUUAUAGACUGAAGGCUCAACUUUCUUGAGUUGUCCUUUCAUGGGAAAGUUUUCUCUUAAUGAGCAAGCCUGAAAUAAUUUAAUUUCAUUGCAAUUAGAAAAUAAUAAGUUUCAGGAAGAAAGUGUCCCAUCUUUUAAAAAGAAGAAGGAAAAGUUAUCAGUUCUUUGAACUUAAGAGAGAGGAGUGAAAAGCUGUGGGUCUGCAUGAAAGUAGUACUGCGAGCAAUAAUUAAUUGUUAACAGCCAUCCAGAAGCUGAAUUACUGGACUGAAUGGAUGAAUGUGGACAAGGAACUCAAAAGCAGAUUUGCAAAGCUUCAGCAUGCAUUGUUUUCUCAGAUUAUUUAGGGAGACCUCAUACAUUUAUUUUGAAAGAGAUAGCAAGUAACAUCACACACCUAGCAAAAAAUCCCUCCUGCACUUUUGACAGUGACUGUGACAGAACAUUUGGAUUCUGUGAUGCAAGAAAUCGUUCUAUUUCUUGCCCAUUUUGGGGGGGGGAAUCUUUCAUUCAGUGGAGAAGAAAGAAUUGCUUUUCCUUUCAACUUAAAUUUAAAAAGAAAAAUAGGACUCAGCAGCUGGUUUUGAAAUCAAUUUUCUUGAAUAACUCUAUGCAAGAUAUACAGUUUCCUGAUGGUGUUUAAAACUUACUGCCAAGAGAAGUGGGGGGGAGGGAGGCACUUAGAAUGCAGGUCUAUACAGAUGAUUCAAAUCGAAACUUUGCCAGAGACUUGCAGAGCCAUACUGGAUGCUAAAUAAGAAUUUGUGAUGUUUUUUCCUCGUUUUCUUAAAAGUAGGCUCUUCUAGUUAAUAGGAUGCUAUAAAAGCAUUGGCAGAUUCUGGGGGACUUUUACAUCUUUCUCUUAAGUUUUUUGACAGCAGCCAUGAUUACCACUUCACAACCUACUAAUAUGUAAGGUGCAGAAGAGAAAAGUCUUGCAUGUGACAGCAGUCAGUGCCUCCAGAACAUUUGAUUAACAAAGGUAGAGGUCCCUCCUGGACAACUCCUGUCUGACUGAGCUGCCAUAGACUGCAGAGCAAACCAAAGAUGCUCUUCGCCAUCAGUGUCAGCCUGGAAAAGGGGAAAUGUUGCUGGUCACCCUUGGAAAUAAGGUUGGUGUCUGUCAAGGAUCUAGAGAAGAUAAAGUUUUAAAUCACUGCAAUAAGAGUCAUCUGAGGAGCAGCUGGAGCCUGAGGACCACUGAGCAAGUGCUUUAUGUCAAUGGAUAACAUUAUCCAGGAAUGAAGAGUUUCACUGUCUGGUUCCUGCAAAGUGUACAGAUGUUAGCUGCUGGCACUGGCAUAAUCCCUAUGGAAUUACAUCCAUCCAACUUUUCUGAUAAUUAGUUGGAGGCAGCAUGCUAUCAAAUUAAAUAGUAGAAAGACUAAUUGGAUUACUUCAGCAAAAUUUGUUCUGCAUGUAGUCAGUGAGAUGGAAACAGAUUCAACUGUUCUUUUUAUUUUAAAUUAUUUGACCAGUUUGGAACUGCAUUGCAAUUUUCAGUGCAGAAGAGCAAGAGCUCCGUCAAAAGGAGAAAGAAAUUAGAUAACAAGUGCAUGCAUGUGUGAGUGCUUGUGGGACUAAAUUCAUGUGAAAUACUGGACCUGAUUGCUGGGCUCAUAAAAAGCAAGGGGAGAAAAUGGGAAGAACCAGACUAAGAAACCUCUUGGGAUGAGUUAAACAUGGGAAAAUUGCUCACUGGUUACUAUCACAGACAGAACAAACUCAAACUUAACUAUCUUAAGGCUGUUUUAUUCCUUUGCUCCAAACUACCAGCUUCCCACACCAAGUGGUGCAGCAGCAGAUUCUGAAGUUUUCUUGGACAUAUGAAGAGCUGUGAAGAAGUUGGACAUUUAACAACAACAACAACAGAUUCUGAUCUCCUUUCUCUGUCCUAUUCUAACAAUGAUUGAAAACAUCGUUUUGAGUAUCUUUUCAUCCUUUAAAAAGUCAUAAAAACAAAAACCAGGUCUGUGCUAUUGCUCUUUAACUACAAUUCAGUUUUCUUCCAGUGUGAAAAAGCCAUAAAAGUAUACAGUAUCUUUCCUUCUCUGUUCAUUUUAAGGUUCAAUUUGGUAUAUUUAUGGCAAUUAUAUAAACAUAAUUUUAGUCAUGUCUUUCACUUCAGAAAUAAUUGUUUAUAGAGUAAUUACUAAUAAGAGAGUAUUUCUGGUGAAUGUGAAUGCUAAUUAACUAGGUCUUCCCAAGGUGUCUUUACUGAAGACAUGUUAUUGAUCACUGAAGCUAAGUUGGGAAAAUUCAUCAAGUCUCCUGGAA